AGACACACUUCCGGCUAAGUACGGGCGUAAUAAUGGUGAUUAAAACUGUUCACCGUUCCUUUGAGUUCCUCGUAGAUUCUGGAUAUUAGUCCUUUGUUGGAGGUAUAGAUUGUGAAGAUUUUCUCCAAUUCAUCGCCGUUUUUUAGAGUUUUUCUCACUAAAUAUUGACUAACGGAACCUAGCCCUGUAAUGUUGAUAGUCGGGCGGGUCGGAAGUGGCUGAGGUGGAGUAUCUGCAGGAGAAGAACUGAGGCUCCUAAGUGCAGCAUCUUGUCCAAGAGGUUUCGUCCCAAUGCGUGGGGAACAUCCGGAUUGUGAUGUUUAGCUCUCAGUUUCUAACUUGGGCAUUCUAGCAACUGUAUUUCUCAUUUAAUGUUUUAUGGGCACACAUGCAGAGGAGUUUUCGUCACUGAAAAGCCCGACAACUUCCCCUGCCAACCCAUUGGAAUUAAAAAAACCUCGAUAACCUCUUAAACACAUGGAAAUGGAACCCUGAGCAGAGGUAAAAGCCUAGCAGUGAUCACUCUUUUGGCGACUUGGAAAUCGGGGUGAGCUUUUAUCCGUUACCUGUGCCCUGUUGUUAGGGGUCGACUGCUGCUGUUCUUCCUUGGAAACUGGCUCCACUGCAUUUCGGGGCUGGGAUGUUGUUAAAGCAUUCACAGCCCUCAGAGCACAUGACGAGGGAGUUGGGAAAUGAAGCAAGCAGGACCUUCCACUUUGUAGCAGACUUAUUUCUGGAGAAACUGAUGGUUGGGGCCACAAAACGCUUUCAGUGUAGGCUCAUCAUGACUCAUUUGGACAUCCUAUUUUCUCUCCUUAUGUAUGAGAUUGUGGUGGGUAUCUGUACAGCCUAAGGACCUUGGGUGGACCUGGCCAGCAAUGGGACUGUUACUGAUGAUGCAUCACAUGGUGUCACUAGGAAAAGCAUAGAUCAGCUGAGGAUCAAUCUUCCCACCAGGUGUGUGUGAAAAUGUAGGUUAUGUGCUUCCUUCAGCCCCAAACCUGUUGUCCACACCAGAAUCUGGAAAUAAUCUCAUUGGAAUUGGGAGAAUGAUUGAUGAUACUCAGUGAAUUGCAUUGCAACUAUUCAUUGAUUCAUUCAUCUAUCCAGUUCAAAAUAUCAAGAAACAGAGAAGUGAGAGGAACAAGAGAGCUUCUGUUCUAGUAACAUUUGUCAAAAGGAGGAAAAAACCUCUAUUUCAGAUUGCUUUCAUAUACAGCCAUGAGAUGCAUGAUUUUUCAUAGAUCAAAAGAGGAGACAAAAUGCAGACUUUGUCAUCUGUUGGACAGAAUGUUCUGAUUACUAUGGAUGGGGCUUCAGGAGUUAAUGGCAAAAGAAAUGAGUCUUCCGUGGCGUGCUUCAGUCCCCAAACCACUCUCUCAUUUGACUAUGAGGUUUGCUGGAAUGAGACCAUUCACAGAGGAAGGGGGGACAUCAGGGAGAUGGGAAAUUGGCCACCUGCAAGAAACGAGUCCCUUGCACAAAGCCCAGUGUAGCAACAACGGACUCAACGAAGGAAGCCAGCCAUCCAACGGAGAAAGACCAGCUAGCGAAGGCAGACGACGCUCAUCUUCUGUAAAUAGCAAGGCUUAAGAAAAAUAGUCAAUGAGCGCGCUCCCUUUUUGUUUGGCUUUGGUACCAUUGACUAGUUGUCUGAAAGUAACCGAUUGUAUGGAAUGGAACGAGUGGGAACCCAGCCAGUACCCCGAGCCAAGAAGUCCAGGCAAGUUAUCAAGAAGAGGCUUUUCUUUUUCUCCUCCUCCCCCUCAUUUCUCUUUUUCCUUCUUCUUUUUUAAAUUCAAGAACAUUUUAUUUAAAAUGAAAUUCCCUUAAAGUUGUGCAUUGUCUUUUAUUUAAAGAUGUAGUAUCUCUGAGAAUAAAGAAAGGAAGAGAGGAAAUUAAAAAGCAAUGAGAGAAGACGUCUGGCAGCUUGGCCUCUCACCAAGUGACCUUUUGAUAGACCACAUGGGACUCAGAACUAUAUGAGCCUACCAAGGAAGUGAACAAUUUAUGGUGCCUUGUUUGGGCUUUUGAUAAGUAUCUCUGUAAAGUGAUGCAAGGAAAAACAACCCGGGACCUACUAUAAUUGCAGAAUUCCUUUAAAUUAUUUUAAGAUGAGAGAGGCCAUCAGGACUAGAGAGAAAUAGCCCCCAGGCUCAGGAUAUUUAUGUGUAUUUCAUUUAAAAAAUCGGUGCCACAAUGUCCCAAUGAUCAUUAAGCAACCUGUCUGGGUGUCCUUCAAAAGCUGGAGGAUUUGUUCCCUGAGGAGGAUGAGACAGUUAUUCAUAAGGCAGGAUCUGAGCACCAUGGGGCCACGUCCCAUGCAUGAAACAUGAGAAUUCCUGGAAACCACUGGAAUCACCUGGGUUCAUUCUGAGUUGCUUCCUUUGGAAAAUCUUUUGGAAGAACAUGAAGGGGUGUUUUUUACGUUCCCUUACUAAAUGCUAAAGUGUGAUAUGGUAAAAUUUGCUGGUUCACUGAGUGAAGCAUCAGGCAUUGGCUGAAAUCUGGUGUCAAAACAUAGGAGAUCUUCCUGCUACUUGUAUUUAGUGGGACACUUCUAUACCUCCUACAGUGCACAGGACAGCCCCCUACAGUGGAGAAUUAUCCAGCUAUCCAGCUUCAAAUGUCAAUCGUGCCAAGGUUGAAGACCCUGAUUUAGGGGCUUCUUUGCAAAUCAUUGAUCUUACCAUCAAGGACUUAAUAUUCCAGAUUGCUGAGAGCAUUCUGUUUUUGAAAUAUCUCUAUUGGAUCAUUUGAGAAGCCCUGGUUAACUCCCAUAUUUAAGGAGAUCUCACAGGAGUUGUUUUAGAACAAGAUUACUUUUGUUCUAUGGCCAAAGGCUUCCUUUCCAGAAAGCUACACCCAAAUUUAAACCACUUGCUCAGCCAAGGCUUCAGAAAAUCUAUCAUCUGGUAGAAAAGCAGAGUUGUCUUUUUAUCCCAGGUACAAGGAUUCUUAUUACAAACGACCACCUAUUGUGACACUAAUAGCAUUGCUGAGGUGGUAACUUUCUAUUUUAAAGUGUUAAGGCUGCAAGUCUACUAAGACCAUUAUAAAGACAUGAUCAUCUGGAAACAUCUGCAAGAAAAUCUACCAAAAUGAAGACACACUCACAAAAUGACCUUCCUCCUACAUCCCAGCUCUUGUCAUCUUAAAGGCAUUCACUCCAUGGAGGCCCCAGGAGGCGAAUGGCUUCUCUCAUCUUGGGCUGCAGCUUUGCUGAUGACUUCUGGCUCCUCAUGGAAAACAGAAGUGCAGGGCAUGCUUUUCCAUUAAGCUCUUUCUGCUAAAGCAGAUUCGAAGUUAAGAGAAGCAGGCACUGCUCAUUCUUGUCCAACAUUCAUGGACAAAGAACUCUGGGCUUCAGUCUUGUCAACCCUCGUGCAGGGCUCUGCUCAUUAGCAGGAAUCUUCAGAUGACUCAUAUUCCUGGGCAUUUGAUCUUUUGUGAUAAGAAGAACCAGCCUGGCUCACUGACUGGUAUGGUGUGGCAUGGUUCCUGGCAAUGGUGUCUUUGGAGACUGAUGAAAUUCUUUUAAGAUUGAUAUCUCCAUUAUGACAUAUUGAGCAUUGUGUGUUUGGGUUGUGUUAAGGAACUACUACCACCCGAACACUCUGGUCUUCCUCUCUCCUUUUUUCUUUUAGGCACAUUAUGUGUGGAGAUGUGUUCUUAUUGGCAAAGGAUACAAUAUUCACUGAUAAGGAAAAGUAAACUAUGCUAAUAACAUGCAGAAUUUAAAGGAAAUCCCCAAACCUGAAGUUUUCCCAAAUCUUUGGGCUUCCUUAGCCCUGUAAGUGGAUCAAACAGCUGGGGAGUUUUCUUUUUUAAUUUUUAUUUUUAUCACAGAUCAUCUACCAUGAGCAAUUUCUCUGGAAGUUGAUGUGUCAAUGACUAUCUCAUCUUUGUUGAAGUGAAGUUUUUGGUCCUGAAGCUGGCUGACUCUCAGCUUCCUGGACAGGCCCUUUUCUGGGCACACCGGGACAUUGGGCAUUUGUUGGAGUUUUCCAAUGUCUGUAGCUCCAGGUGUUCAGCAAGAGGCAUGGCACUGUGAAGUCACCAUAGUGUUUACGGAGAAGCACAAUAGGGGGCACCCUCCAUAAAUCUGGUUGAGGGAAAAGCAUUACAAGUUGGAUGAAAUAAGAAUACAAGAAACAGUAUUUGUAGAGUGUAUAUGACUGUGUGUCAAGUGAAGGGAAGACAGAAGAAAUGCUGUAAGUUACUAAGAGGGAGAAAUGACUAAGGACUGCAGUUGUCAUGGCAGGCUUCCUGAAGGUGGUGGAUGUGGGCUGAUGUCUGAAGAAAGUUACCAUUUACUGAGAUCUCACAGUGAGCCAGGCCCUGUUCUAAAUAUUAAUGUGGAUAUUUUGUUUAAGUCUCAUCAUUUUUCAAGAGUGAACACUUCAGUGGUCUGUAGUCCCUCAGUUGCACUGGACACAGUUGAGGCCCUCAGGAGCCACGCGGGGUCAGCGGUGGUGGCAUUGGGCAGAGCAGGUGUAGUGAUUUGGAGAGGGGACAGGCUCAGCAUCAGUAUUUCUGCUGCAUCCCUCUGUAAACAUCUCAUGAAGUGGCUGAUUUGUGAGAAGAGGAUCAUCUACCUCCUGCAUUCAAUCUCAUGAGUAGUUGGGAAGAACAGAUGAAGUGAGGCUGUGAAGCACUGUUGCAAUCUAAGGCACUGCUUAGACAUUGGUUGAGGCUCUAACCCAUGGUCUCCCUGGAGUGGUGACUCCUGUGGUCUCCGGGGACCUUUCUCCUUCUGUGUGUGCAGCUCCAGCCAGGGUGUUUGAAGGUAGAACAUUCUUUAGGAUACAGAAUAAUGAAGCCUCAGGGUUCAUUUCAGACUUCCUAGCAGGCUGGAUAGGGGGUGUCGUUCUUGGGAAGUUCCUCCUGGCGUCUCUGAAAUCAUUCAGAAAAAGGUUGUCCAGGUGCCUCCAGUGGGUGUUCUUGGCUGAUGUUUGUCCUGCGUUCCUCUGACUGCUAGGCUUAAGCGUCUUCAACUCAGAGUUCAAUUCCUCACAUGCUGGAAGGCAGGACAGCGAGCACUCUGGGAGGUCCACCAAGCACUUUGUGCUCCAUUCCCUGCACUGUCUGCUCAGGAAACCUCCUCACGCAACCAUCUGAGGCCUGGUCCUUAAAGUGGAACCUGUCACGCUGGAGCUGAGUGUUGCCUCGGUCCACACAGCAUCUUGGAGACAUUUAUGGUUUCUGCUCUGAGUGUCUCUUGAUGGAAUUGUUAGUGGCUGCUGCAAUGCAGAUAAUAUGGAAAACUAUUGUGGUAACUGUGGCUAUUGGCAUGGUGGCUUUCCACCUGGGAUCCCUGGAGUCUUGGCGCCUGGCAGGGGCAGCACUGGGAGGAGGAGGAGACUGAGCUGGUGAGGACCUGAGCCAUUGAUCCCUUCUCUCCUACCCCCUAUGUGCCCUUAAUCCAAAGCAGUUUUUAACCUCCCUGCCUUUUGUAAAUGAUAAAGUUUUGGAUAAGAUGUUAUUUAAAGAAAUAUUUUGAUGCCAAGACAUGUUGAAAGUCCCUGCAGUGGGGAAGUCAGGAAAAGUUGGUAUAAUGCUGGGUUAUUAACCUUCUUUGGUGCAAGACCUUUUUUUGAGAUGUGAUGAAACUGUUUCUCCAAAAAAAGCUCAUACCCCACAAUAUUGCAUCAGGAUUGCUGAGGCCAUCUGUGCAUGUGGCCCACACCCCUGGUUAGGGAUCCCUUGUCAAUUGGGAAGAUUAUGGGUUGUGGAUACAGACAGAUAGAGAUUUAACCCUGCCUCAGACUUCACUCACUUUUUAACCUCAGGGUAUCUUAGUAAACCUCUUUACAUUCCAGUUUGUUGUCUGUAAAACAGGGACAAUUAUGUAUUUUUGUGAAGAUGAGAGAACUUCAAAUGUCAAAUCACAUGGUAGGUGUUAAGUAAAUUGUAACUACUAAAAGGCAGUAAAGUGAUGAUUAAACAUUUAUUAAUACUUCACAUAUGGUAAACCCAUACCAUCUUAUUAAAUCCUCACAAUAAAUAUGGAAGGUAAGUGUUUUUACCCUUUCUUUACAGAGAGGGUAAACUGACAGAUGGGAAACUGAGGCCUGGAGAGAUUUCGUCUCCUGCUCAACAUUGUCACAACUUGUCAGAGAUGGAGCCUGAGCAAAAUCCCAGGUCUGCCUGAUUCUGAAGCCUGGACUUUUACAGAACACUGCCUCUGACCAUGGCUAUGCUGGCAUUCAGCAAGUAGGAACAUCAGGAGCACUGAGGCUGUCACUAAUGGUCCUGUCCCAGCCCCUCCACUGUGAAGCUGAGACCUUUCACAGGAACCAAAAAGGGAUUGAUGCUGUGGAGAUGGGACACUGAUACUCGCAGGUAUGCACACUGCUGGGCAGGUCCACAUGACCGAUACGUGCCAGAAGCCAACUGGAACAAAGCUGUGAAAUGGGAGCAUUUCUGAGAAAGAGAAUAGCAGCCCCUCCCUGGUGCCAGCCCAGCCCACACAGCUGGGCCUGGCAUUCUCCCUAACACAACACAUCGCUGAAGAGCAACACCAGACAAGCCACUCAUGACCCAAUGCAGCAAGACAGACAGACACCGGGUGACUGUGUCUGGACACAGAAAACAUGCCAUGGUCUAGCCACCAAUCACAGACACUGGGUGACCGUGUCUGGACACAUAUGGGACACACCUCGGCCCAACCACCGAACGAUUCCCUGUUAUGCCUACUAGGAAUGACAGCUGCUUCUUUACCUGCAUUUUCUUUAAGCACCUGUGCCAGGUGGUUUCACUCCUGAGCCUCCAGCAUGGUGUGUCAGGAAUACUUCUGUCCAAGAGUCAGGGCUGCUUGUUCAAACCUUUGCUUGGCCAUUAAUUCCCUGAAAGCUCUUGGAUAAGUCAUGUCUUGGUCUGUUUUCUGUAGCUAUAACAGAAGAUCUGAGACUAGGUAAUUUAUGAAGAAAAAGGCUUAGCUCACAGUUCUGGAGGCUGUGAAGUUCAAGAUCAGGUGGCUGCAUCUGGCAAGGGCUUCGUGUGCAUUGCAACAUGGUGGAUGACAUUACUUGGCAAGAGCACAUGUGAGAGAGGUGAGCAGGUGUAUGCAAAGAGACAAAACGCAAGGGGUGGCCUUGCUCUGUGACCUCCUGCUCUCCAGAUAGCUCAUCCAGUCCUGCAAGAGUGAGAGUUCACUCUGGAGAAAGAGCAUUAAUCCCGCUAUGAGGGCAGAGCCAGCCCUCUGCUGCAAAUGCCUCUUCAAUGUCCCACCAUCGGUCAGCACUGUUGCAUUGGGGGUUUCAAUUGGUCUCAGUUUCAAUGUUAAGGCAUGGUUGAAACAAGUGAGCUCUGAGGCCCUGUGACUCAGUGAGAGAGGACGCGAUGGGAAAGGGAAGGAGCCUGGAGGCCACAGGGACAUGGCCUCAGGGAGGCAGGCCCUCUGGUCAAUGUGAAGAGAACACAAGGCGCCCACAAACCACCUGCCGGUGGAAGGCUCCCAGACGCUGAGCAGGGUGCAAGGUGUCAGGACUUUUGGCCUGCUGGCAUGUGCCUGUCAGGGAGGGUGGGUGCACCUGGCCUAGCUGUACUUGGAGAAAGAAGCAGGCUGGGUUCCACGGCUCGUGAUCCAACAACCCCGGCCACUUUAUAGGCCCUGAAGGAGAUAUGAAAGCCCAGAUGCUGUUUUUAUGGGUUUCUGCUGUUGUUGUUUGUGUUUCAUGAAAUGUUUUAAUUGUUUGGUUUUUUAUGCAAUGUAUCCUGAGGCUUUUAAAAUUAUUUCACAAAGAGUACGUGUAGCACUGAAUGUGAAACAGACUCAUUUACAAAUUGUAGGCCGACCACAUUAGAGAAGGUGAAAGCUGCGAGCAUUGCUCUCUGCUGCCUUCGGGCUGCUGCACUAAAUAGCAGGUCACCGGCCUCGCCGGUGCUGGGGAAGGAGCACAUGAAAGGUAGGAAUGUGCUUCUCCCCAACCGAGCCUCCUCACCAGUUGUCUCUGAAUUUCUCUACUGGUUGGAAAGCAAUUUUCUUAUUAGAGAAAAAGAAAAGAAACAAAGUCAUGGUGGCCCCACCAACCUUAUCUCUUCACUCUGGAAAUUAAUAGCAAAGAUGUGCAGCAGCCACGCUGGCAGAGAGAACCACACCCCAGACCGUCCAGCAAAGCCAGGCAUGGGGAAGCGUGUCAGCAUCCGAUAAACCUGGUUGGAAACUUCUCAGUUUAAACCGCUUCAGAGACUAGCUUGAUUUUCCCACCUGAUUCUGUCAUGUUUUCUGGAUGCAUGGUCUCCUGGGACACUCCUGCCAUGAAAGAACCAGGAGGCUCUCCACUGGACAGUCACCUUAGGAAUGGGAUAGUCACAUGUGAAAUCUUGACCUGUAUAGAUGCCCCUUAUUGAUAAGAAGCUCUUUAGUUACCACAUUUUGCAAGGGUGGCAGGUUUGCCCUGUUUGAUGGCUUGCACAAGGGCCCUGAAACACCAAAUCCACAUGUGUACCACCAUUCUGCAUAUGGACUGAAUUUGGCAAAACUCAUGGUGAAUUGUCUAAGAGCCUGGACUGACUUGCUUGUUUCUUUAUUUUUUUGAGACUGAUUCUCUCUCUAUCACCCAGGCUAAAGUGCAGUGGCACAAUCUCGGCUCACUGCAACCUCCACCUUGGGUUCAAGCAAUUCUUGUGCCUCAGCCUCCCGAGUAGCUGGGAUUACAGGCACCUGCCACCACGCCCAGCUAAUUUUUGUAUUUUUAGUAGAGAAGGGGUUUCAGCAUGUUGGCCAGGCUAGUCUCGAACUCCUGACCUCAAGUAAUCCGCCCACCUCAGUCCCCCAAAGUGCUGGGAUUACAGGUGUGAGCUACUGCGCCUGGCCAGAUUUGCUUGUUUCUGAGCCAAGGUUACCGCGCUGGCUUUGAGUCACAUUUGAUUGUUAUCCCCUGGGUGCCUAUUAAACACACCGGUUCCUGUGUCCUACUCAAGACCAACUCAAACAGAAUCUUCAGGGUACAUACCUGGGGAGCUGGAUGUUUAACAAGCACCCCAGAAUUCUUCUCAUGGGGGAAGUGUGGGAAACCUGGGACUUGCUUCAGAGACCAGCGACCUCGCUCUGUGGGCAGAGUGGAGAGCAUCCUGGGACACUUGGCUCAUGGCCUCAGCUUUGGAAAUGGAUGAGCUAGGGUUAAGACCUUCCCUUGGGAGGGCUCAGAACUCAGCGAGCUGUGCCUUAGGAUAUGAGGCUGCUGUUGGGCUCAACCUGGAACAAGUACAGGUGCUGGCUUAGCUUGAUGGGUAAGAACAGGAUUUGCAGAUGGGGGGCUCCCUGUCUUGUUAGCAUUUUCAGUCUUUUGGCCAUGUCAGUAAGCUCAGGACAGGGCAAGGGCUUCUGGAAGACAAAGGAGGACAGUGAGAUUGGGCUGUUCUAUAACAUUUAUUCAGGUCUCUGGCAGAAGCCCCGUGGAACCUCAGCCGGACAGGAGGUGACGCUUCUCCAGAUGACAGUUCUUGUGCCAGCGUCUCAGGUCUGCUCCAGGCUGACGGGUGCUCCGUGCACACAGCAGACCCUGCCGGAAGCUGCAAGUUUGGGAAUCGCAGUAAGGGGUGGUGAGCUGUUCUUUGGUUGUGCGAUCACGUUUACCAGUAGUCUGGCCAGGCCUCUGGCUCAUGGUUAGCGUUUUCAUUUAUAAAAUGCCCGCCUCCCUCCCAGAGAAAGUGAGAGAAGUCAUUCACAAAAUGAUUUUAAACUGCUUUCCAAGGAGCGGCCACUGUGGAAUUGCUUCAUAGUAGUGAAAGUUUUCACUUGAGUGGGUAUUGAAAACAACGGGUUGACCUUCCAGAAAAGGAAAACACUCCUAAUUUACUACAAAUAGAAACAAAUACGUUGUUAGUUUGUAGUUGUCAGGUCACUUGCUUGCAGCAGGACCAAGACUGACACCAUGAAAUAGCCAUUAAUUCAUCUCACCAACUGCUCAGGUUCAGCCAAGUUUGGAAUAAUUUCUUCCAGAUGCCUUGCUACCACCACCCAACAUUGAAGUGGGCAUAGCUGUGCCCGCCACCCAACGUUCUGAACCAUGGGCUUGACAUAAACUGGGCAUAGCUGUGCCUGUCCCUUACUUAGCUCUACAAUAAGAAACUCUUUAGUUACCACAUUUUGCAAGGGUCCUACCUGGAGCCAUCAUCCAUGGAAUGGUUACAUUGGGAGAAUGUAUAGGAAGCCAGUGUUUUCUAAGUUAGAAUUAAUUACCAUGCUUGUCCUUGGACAGACGGGAGGCCCGGUCAUUUCUCACUUUUGUGUAUCACCUUGCAAAGUACCCUCCAUCGCCUGCUUGGGGCCACCUAAUAACUCCAUAAACUGUGCAGGUAUUAUUGCCUCCAUCUUACAGAUGACAAAACUAAGGCCAGAAUGUCAAAUAACUAGGUAAACAAUACAGGAUUCUAAAUGUGGGGGCAUGACUUGAGCCUCCAGAGCCUGAGUCUAAGCCAGAGUGUUUCCACCAAACUGUGCCAUCUUCAUACACUGAUUUCUCUAGGUAUUUGGCCAGGUAUUUUUCUGGCCAACAAAUGAAAAUUAAUGUAGUCUCUGAGAGAGGGACUAUGGUAAGGAACUAAAUGGUCUUGCCUGGCUUCUUUAGGCUUAAAUCUUUUACUAGAAGGAAUAUGUUUUAUUAUUUGUUAUUGUCAAAAUGAUAAAUAAAAGUGCUCGAUUGCAAUGAACGUCAGUAAGUAACUGACUUGACGUUGUAUAAUUAUUAAAUGUUUAAAAUAUGUUAGUGGCAAUAGUGACACUGAUAAUAUUGAUGUGUCGUGUUUUGAAGGCACUCACUUUAAUGUUUAUAUAUCCCCAAUACAUAAUGAAUUAAGUAAGCAAGCGUCGGGUCCUAAGCAUUUUUCUAAUUUAUAUGAUUAGUAAAGAAGUACUCUGCUAAAUGGGAUAAAGUGCUAGUUUAGAAUUAUGGGAUUUCAGACUUUUCUCUGUAACUACUUGCCCUAUUGUGUCGAGUCUUACUCUUUUGUUCUAGAUGACUUUCUUUAUUCAUAAAAUGGUAGUCAGGCCUUUGUAUACUGCCAAAAAUAUGUCUACCCCACACUUAGAUUUAUUCCAAAGAAUAAUUGCACAUAGAUUGUGCACCUAUUAUAAUUACUGAUGUUUAUCCAGCACACCUAAUUUUGCCUUUGUCCCGGCUUGUUGAGGACACUGUUGCCUUAACCAGUGCAUCUUCAAGAGGAACCUUGUGGCUUCUGCCAUGACCAGACAUGGGUUUCUUGGUCUUCACAUGUGAGCGCUGCAGUCUCAGGGUUGCCAGGAUGCUUCCGAGGAUGCCAUCUUCUAUUUUUUAGUGGUUACAUUUUUCAAAAUAUAGACUGAGAUGCUGUUUCCCAUUUUGGGGGUGGCUGGCCUCCUUAUUCCUGGGAUGUGCAUGGUAAAGUGAGUUUCUGAAUGGGUCUAUGAGCUUCUUCCCCAGCCAGAGUUAAUUUAGACACCACCUCUCCCUUCUAAACAGAGCCAGGGCCCAUAUACAAGUCAAAUCUGCUAUUUUUCUUUGGGCAAUGAUUUAUUUCCCUCUUAAAUUGGCUGGACCAGUUAGUUUUUUAUUUUUAUUAAGUCACACUAUUCUUAAAUGAAACUAUUGAUUUAAAGUCAGCUUAGUGAGGAUUUAAUUUGUUUUCAGGGGAUUAGAGCAGGUAGCAUGGGAUAAUUUUACAAUGAAGUGGAGCAGAAGCAUUCCUUCACAGUGCCUCGCCUUUUUUUUUUCUUGCCAGGCUGCACAGACAUUACAAAUUUUCAAGUAAAUUGUGGAAAUACAUUCAUAAAUCAGUCCUAAUUCGUCUGCCUGCUUAAGGGUGAUUCAAAGGGGAGUUCAUUCCUGACCUUGUCUCAUGUCCUUCUGAUAGGCCACGUGUCUAGGGCUAAAACACGUGUACCUGUGCAUGUACACGAACACACACACACACACACAUACACAUACACACACCAGAUUCCUUUCCUCCUUUCCUCUCUAAGGUCCAUGUAAAAUUCUUUUUCGUCGCCUUUCCUCCCUUCAUACAGUAUUGCCUCUGUUCACACAAUGGUUUCUUUCCCUAGCAUGUGGAAGGGGUGAAGGGCGCAGGGCCUGUGGGGACUGCCUAGCUUGUGUCCCCUUCGGGUCCCCCUGGUUUCUCUGCACCCAGUGCACCCUCUCCCUGCUUUCCCCCAUGCUCCAGUAUCCUCUCUCCUGGUCGGGAUCCCUCUGACCUUCCAGGAAGUUGGGUGGCAGGUCUGGGCGCCAAUGGAGGGAGGGCAGGUGGGGAAGUGAAUGUGAUCAACUCUCAUGAUGGUUUAAAAAUCAACAGAGUGAAACUGUCCAAACACAGCUAGGGAAGGUUUUCUGUUGUUUGUUUUAAAAAGUAGAGUCUUGUCAUUGCCAGUCUGUUAUCUCUGAGCUUGGCUGUCACUAUCCAUUUCAAAAGGAGCCGUUUCUUUCUAUUGAAAUCAAAUAGAGUCAGAGCCAUUUUCAGAUUAAUGGUCCUUGGUCUAGAGGUUUCAAAACCAUUUUGGUCAAUCAUUCUGAGUGUCUCCAUUGUCCACAACCCCCUCCCACUGGGGUAGCUGGGGCCGAGUCUUGCCAAGCAUCAGGUGACUAAGUCCAUCUGGAGAAUCCGCCACUGCCAAAGGGGCUGGACUAGCAUCCCACCUACUGGGCUCCCCACCAGCAGCAACACAGGGGUCCACUGCCUUUCGUUUCACAAAUAAGUCUUGACUUCCUGAACAGUCGGCUUCAUGCCUCAUGCACUGGAACUGGAAGGCAGGGCAGGCUUUUCUCUGGGACCCGGGGUGUCACUGGGAUUCCUCUGCUAAACAGCUGUGAGUGUGGGGGAUGAAGGGAGACAGGGUGUAGGUAGCAGAUACAUCAGGUGUUUCUUGGGAUUUGGACUUUCUUCUUCCUUCCUUCCUUCCUGCCUUCCUUCCUUCCUUCCUUCAUUCCUUCCUCCCUCCCUCCCUCUCUCUCUCCCUCCCUCCCUCCCUCCCUCUCUCUCUCUCUCUUUCUUUCUUUUUUUCAAGGAGUUGCAUUCUGAUUGCCCAGGCUGGAGUGCAAUGGUGUGAUCUUGGCUCACUGCAACCUCUGCCCUCUGCCUCCCAAGUUCAAGUGAUUCUCCUGCCUCAGCCUCCCGAGUAGCUGAGAUUACAGGCAUGUGCCACCAUGCCCAACUAAUUUUGUAUUUUUAGUAGGGAUGGAAUUUCUCCAUGUUGAUCAGGCUGGUCUUUAACUCCCAACCUCAGGUGAUCCACCCACCUCAGCUUCCUGAAGUGCUGGGAUUAUAGGUGUGAGCUACUGUGCCCGGUGGGAUUUGGGCUUUCCAUAGCACUCAGUUUGAUUGCGGAGAGCAGGUGAAUUGCCAAGACCUGCCUGUGGCCAUGGAGUGCAGCAGCAGGUGUGUGUGGCCGGCCAGCCUGUGGGACCAGAAGGAGACUUGAGGAUGGGGUCACGAAUGCUCCACUGCAUGGAGGAUGGGUGAGCUCAGGUCUGCCUGUUCUUGGUGUGAACGACUCACAAGAAGACUUGCCUAGAGAAAUUCAAGGGACCAACCAUACCACAAGAGAAUACAAAUGGCACAGAGCAGUAGGCAUCAUGGCAUGAGGUACCGGAACUGUGCAAGGAUUACACAAGCAUUAAAAAUGCAGAAUGGAUUGCAAGAAAAAUGCCAUAUAUUUUCUGAGUAGUCAGAGGAAAGUGUGUACGUAAAGGUGUCACGAGAAGCAUAGUGAAACUGAACUGAAAUGUUAAGAGUAACAACACAGGAAAGAUCAGCAGCAGCAGAGAUGGGAGACAUACAGGAGAAAGGCCGGAGAACUCUGAGCCAGCACCAGCACGGUUCCAGGGAAUUCCAGUGAGGGAAGGCGAGGCCAGGGUUGGUAAGUACAAAGAGGAAACCCAGAUAGUCAUAACAAGAAAAUUGGGCAUCUACCCACCUGUGUUUCAAACAAGACAUCAACACUUUAAUUGAGGAGGAUCUUGUAAGCUGAACCCUUCAAAAAAAAAGAGCAAUAAAAAUAAAAAUAAAUCCUUAUAAUAUAUGUCAAUGAGAUAUAUAUGUACAUAAGAAUUGUUCAUUAAAUAAGUUUAUGGAUCACUGGUA